rnacentral:rRNA from 1 species
CAGUAGCCGCGGUAAUACGUAGAGUGCAAGCGUUAAUCGGAAUCACUGGGCGUAAAGCGUGCGCAGGCGGUUUUGUAAGUCUGUCGUGAAAUCCCCGGGCUCAACCUGGGAAUGGCGAUGGAGACUGCAAGGCUAGAAUCUGGCAGAGGGGGGUAGAAUUCCACGUGUAGCAGUGAAAUGCGUAGAUAUGUGGAGGAACACCGAUGGCGAAGGCAGCCCCCUGGGCUAAGAUUGACGCUCAUGCACGAAAGCGUGGGGAGCAAACAGGAUUAGAGACCCCUGUAGUCCCUGUCUCUUAUAC